GAGCCACCCUGGACUCUACAUGGCUCCUUUCCAUGAGGCUUCUGGACAAUUCCAUUUCCCAGGUGCUCUGACUUCUCUCUGUGGCUGUAGAAACCCAGGACAGCUAUGGCCACUCAGCAGGACACUGGAUCCUGAGAGAGUGACACCAAGAGGAAUUGGAGGAGCCAAGAGGAAUUGGAGGCGAUUCUUGGCAGCUGUGAUGGGGCUGGGGGUGACAGGUGGGCUCUGCCUGGCCGACGAGGUGGUCGCCAUGUGUAUUGCUUCCUGCUUCCUGACUCCCAGGAGCUCCCUGGAAACUGCUCAAUCUCAAGCCUGGUGCCCCAGCCUCCUGUCAAUUCUGCGAGUCCUCCAACAGCCUUUUGUUAGGUCUUGGUCUGUCACCCCGGCUGGAGUGCAGUGGUCCAGUCAUGGCUCACUGCAGCCUCAACCUCCCAGACUCAAGUGAUCCUCUCGCCUCAGCUUCCCUAGUAGCUGGGACUGAAGUCUUGCUUCACCCUACCCAGCUAAUUAAAAAAAAAUUUUUUUUGUAGAGACAGCGUCUUGCCAUGUUGCCCAGGCUGGUCUUGAACUCCUGGAUUCAUACUAUCCUCCCACCUCG